ensembl:lncRNA
CAAAUCAAAAAAAAGGGGUUAGUCCUCACCGUGACACACGCCCUGGCCAGAGGACUAGGAUGUCCCUGAGCCGGGCGCUUCUGCCUGCGUGGAGGGUCCGGUUUCAGCCCUGGUGGCCAGGGCCGCUCGCAGGUGUCCCUGCUUUGGGAAGUGACCGCCCACAUCAUCCUCAUUAUUCCGCCUGUUCAGGAACAUUAAAGUGACACCGUGUGAAAGGCUUAGAGGGGAGGCCUCUCUGCAGAGGGUCUCUGGAGAGGGAAAAUGUGGUGUUACUCUCUAAAUCUUUUCCCACUGUGUCAGGUUUCCAUAGCUCUGCUUCCUUUUAUUCACGUUGGAGCUGACUGCCUGAUCCUAAAGGCUGAGAACAAGGACUUGGUUUCUAAACACAGCUGCACAGCGCUGACAGAGAAGUCGCAGAGUAAAAGGGAACCCACAAUGAAAGAGCUGCAUUGCACCAUGUUCACAAUUUCCUUGCAGAGUGGGAGCAGAGAUGGUGCAAGUAAACCGACCCAUUUGGAAGCCCACUUGGAAACUGGGGUCAUUUAAAAAAAAUUAUUUCCAUAGGUUUUGGGGGAACAGGUGGUAUUUGGUUACGUGAGUAAGUUCUUUAGUUGUAAUUUGUGAAAUUUUGUGCACCCAUCACCCGAGCAGUAUACACUGAACCCUGUGUGUGGUCUUUUAUCACUCACCCCCCCACACUUUCCCCCAAGUCCCCAAAGUUCAUUAUAUCAUUCUUAGGCCUUUUCAUCCUCAUAGCUUAGCUCCCACUUAUGAGUGAGAACACAUGAUGUUUGGUUUUCCAUUCCUGAGUGACUUCACUUAAAAUAAUAGUCUCCAGUUCCAUCCAGGUUGCUGUGAAUGCCAUUAAUGUGUUCUUUUUCAUGGACUCAUUCUUUAAUGUAAUCUUGGCAACCAUUGAAUUUCUUGUUUUAAAGAAGGAGAAGGAGGCAUGAGGAAAGGUUCAGAAGACUGCCUGGACUUCAAUGGAACUUACAUAAUAAUUUUCUGUGUUACAUAUAAAUCCAUCAGAAACAUAUGGAAUGCAUUUUCAUUAAAGUUCACAUGUGGAAUUAUUAAUGGAAAUGCAGUGGGAAAGAACAGUUUUGG